GACCCGUCUUGAAACACGGACCAAGGAGUGUACCUAAUAUGCGAGUGUUUGGGUGUUAAACCCAUACGCGUAAUGAAAGUGGACGGAGGUGAGAGCCCUUAAGGGUGCAUCAUCGACCGAUCCUGAUGUCUUCGGAUGGAUUUGAGUAAGAGCAUAUUGGGUGCGACCCGAAAGAUGGUGAUCUAUACGUGAAUAGGGUGAAGCCAGAGGAAACUCUGGUGGAGGCUCGCAGCGGUUCUGACGUGCAAAUCGAUCGUCAAAUUUGCGUAUAGGGGCGAAAGACUAAUCGAACCAUCUAGUAGCUGGUUCCUUCCGA
rnacentral:rRNA from 1 species